rnacentral:rRNA from 1 species
AACGUGGGAGACAAACGUUAUCCGGAGUUACUGGGCGUAAAGGGCGUGUAGGCGGUUUGUUAAGUCUGGCGUGAAAGCUCUCGGCUAAACCGGGAGAGGUCGUUGGAUACUGGCAACUAGAGGACGGUAGAGGCGUGUGGAAUUCCGGGUGUAGUGGUGAAAUGCGUAGAGAUCCGGAGGAACACCAGUGGCGAAGGCGACACGCUGGGCCGUACCUGACGCUAAAGCGCGACAGCAUGGGGAGCAAACGGG